rnacentral:lncRNA from 1 species
AGCAUCUGGACAAAAUAUUCAAACACCGAGAACUGCAGCAGAAGCUGGUGGAUGCGAAACUUGAAGAGGCCCAAGAACUGAUGCAGGAAGCAGAAGAGCGGCACAGACGGGAGAAGGAAUAUUUGCUGAACCAGGCAGCAGAGUGGAAACUUCAGGCCAAAGUGCUAAAGGAGCAGGAGACCGUGCUGCAGGCUCAGCUUACUCUCUACUCGGGAAGGUUUGAGGAGUUCCAGAGUACACUGACAAAAAGUAAUGAAGUGUUUGCCACUUUCAAGCAGGAAAUGGAUAAUGUGA